rnacentral:rRNA from 1 species
AGUGAACGCUGGCGGUAGGCCUAACACAUGCAAGUCGAACGGCAGCACAGUAAGAGCUUGCUCUUACGGGUGGCGAGUGGCGGACGGGUGAGGAAUACAUCGGAAUCUACUUUUUCGUGGGGGAUAACGUAGGGAAACUUACGCUAAUACCGCAUACGACCUACGGGUGAAGGCAGGGGAUCUUCGGACCUUGCGCGAUUGAAUGAGCCGAUGUCGGAUUAGCUAGUUGGCGGGGUAAAGGCCCACCAAGGCGACGAUCCGUAGCUGGUCUGAGAGGAUGAUCAGCCACUCUGGAACUGAGACACGGUCCAGACUCCUACGGGAGGCAGCAGUGGGGAAUAUUGGACAAUGGGCGCAAGCCUGAUCCAGCCAUACCGCGUGGGUGAAGAAGGCCUUCGGGUUGUAAAGCCCUUUUGUUGGGAAAGAAAAGCAGCAGGUUAAUACCCCGCUGUUCUGACGGUACCCAAAGAAUAAGCACCGGCUAACUUCGUG